UACGGGGGGGGCAAGCGUUGUUCGGAAUUACUGGGCGUAAAGGGCUCGUAGGUGGCCAACUAAGUCGGACGUGAAAUCCCUCAGCUUAACUGGGGAACUGCGUCCGAUACUGGAUGGCUUGAGUUUGGGAGAGGGAUGCGGAAUUCCAGGUGUAGCGGUGAAAUGCGUAGAUAUCUGGAGGAAUACCGGUGGCGAAGGCGGCAUCCUGGACCGACAUUGACGCUGAUGAGCGAAAGCUAGGGGAGCAAACGGG
rnacentral:rRNA from 1 species